GACGAACGCUGGCGGCGUGCCUAAUACAUGCAAGUCGAACGCAGUGGGGACGGGUGAGUAACACGUGGGUAACCUCCCAUCAGAGGGGAUAACACUUGGAAACAGGUGCUAAACCGAUACUGAUGGAUGGACCCGCGGGGCAUUAGCCAGUGGGUGGGGUAACGGCUCACCAAGGCGACGAUGCAUAGCGGACCUGAGAGGGUGAUCGGCCACACUGGAACUGAGACACGGCCCAGACUCCUACGGGAGGCAGCAGUGGGGAAUCUUCGACAAUGGACGAAAGUCUGACCGAGCAACGCCGCGUGAAUGAAGAAGGUUUUCGGAUCGUAAAACUCUGUUAUUAGAGAAGCGGUAUCUAACCAGGAAGCAACGGCUAACUACGUGCCAGCAGCCGCGGUAAUAC
rnacentral:rRNA from 1 species